UGCACCGAUCAGUUUCACCAUUCAGAUCAAGUGCACCGGUCAGUGUUUGAACUGCAGUUGUUAAGAUAAAAUGUUUUUCUCAUUUCAAUUAAUUGUUUUCCUCGCACUCAGUGCGUCUUUGGUCGCUUCAGACAACUACUGCACCACCUUUAAAUAUCCUCAAAAUGGCCCUAUUUAUGGCAGGCAUGUUCAGAUUAAACCAAUCGUGCUUCGUCCCAAUGUUCAAAGAUAUACACUAGAAUUACAGAACAAUUGCCCUAAAACUAUAGCAUUGGUGUUGAGAGUAUGCGACUAUGACGUGGCUCCGUCUGUCUACCCUGUUUCGUUUUAUGAAGUGCACGUGCAAAGAAAUGGCCAGUACAGAGACGUGGGCAUGGCUUUCGCUGAAUUCUAUUGUGAUUACGUCUCGUAAUAAAAUCAUUUGCGAAAAACAGA